GUCGAGAUAGGGCAUUUUUGAACCGAAUUAUGAAAUGGGCCGUUAUUGAAAUGUUUUCAGAGGUAGGGCGUUUUCGAAGUUAUUGCUUAGAUAGGCCGAUCUUAUACUCAGGUGUCGAUAUGUCCACGCAUCCAUAUAUAUUUAUUUUUUGUAGGUCCAACAAAAUGUUAACUCAAGCGUAGAUUACGACGUUGGGACAUGCGCGAAAUGCUUGCACUAUAUCUAGAAAAUCGUCAGCCUGUUGCUCAUAUUUUCGGAAUGUUAUUGAGGAAUUUUAACUUUUCUUCAAAAUGAUUUAUUUUGGAACGAAUUUCCGUCAUCCCUUGUCAAGUUUGGUUUACAGACAAAAUAUCUACAUAAAAUGGGAAAAUUUCGUUCUAAGACAAAUCAUGGAGCAAAGGGGAGUCAGUUACUUACUCCGAAUCCUGAACGAAUGAGGCAUAGUCUAGAGACUAACCCGCGUUUAUUUCAUAUGAGUAUUAUUUACGGAUUAUUGGCCAACGAAUUGACAGCACUGUCUGAACCAAUUUGCAAUCUUAAUUCGCUUACCUUGGAUGCAGGACUAAAACAGGAUCACCAACUGUUGUUUAAUGCCGAUGCAACUACAGUCAAAGGUGUUGGUGAGAGCUUAACAAUUUUGGGUGUAUGAGAGAGCAAAGCAUGUCGGUGUCACAAUCGGACUUUUUCAAGGCUUUCAAAACAUUUCUUUCCAACUUUACUGAUUGCAGAAAAAUCCUAGAUGAGCGCGAAGGCACAUAGUCAUCAACUGAGUAUAUUAUAUUGCAGAUUUAAGCUGAGAAGGAGGACAAUAAUGCAAUUGGGCGUAUAUUAUCCGCGUUAGAAGUAAUAAAGAUCAGAAGGAGCUCUUGGAAACUUCAAAAACUAAACUGUGCAAAACAGCUGUUGGCCCUUUCGGUUGUGAUGCAAUAUUUAAUAUCAAUACUGCGCUACUGCUCUUUCAAACAACCGAAGUUAUUCGCAUUUUCUUCGAGAAUUUCAUUAUGCUCGUUCCGGAGAACAUAAAAUCUAUGUUGAUCGCAUCGUGUUGCACUCUUUUCUCUAAGGCGCCUUCUUGUUAAAAUUCGGCAAUAAGAAUAGUAUUGCCUUGCAAAAGCUAUUUGCCAAGUGUUAUGUCGGCUGGCGGCUUAAGGAAGUUCUGUACCUAACUCUUAUCUCUUCGGAUGU